rnacentral:lncRNA from 1 species
AGUUAAUUUUAUACAGCUCCUUAUAAACACACCGAAUAACAAAUAUAUUUAUAUAACCGACCGUCCCUAAAAUAAGUGGCAAAGAAUUUGGUGGUUGGUAUCCGAGACCCAAGUUCGAAUCCUAGUUAAUUCACAUUUCUAGAUAAGUUUAUUUCUAAAUGAAAUAAAUGAAGCGGGUAUCGUGCUAUCUAUCUCUCUCAAAAAAAAAUAAAUAAAUAAAUAAAUAAAUAAAUAUAUUUAUAUAAAGUUCCACUUUUUCAUAUUCAUUCCUAUAAAAGUUUAAUAAUGUUCAUAUUUGCUCUCCUACUUUGUUACCGUUAGAAUACUAUUUAAUUUUUAACAAAAGAUAUAUGAAAUGAUAUUUUUACCAUCAUAAUUAAAUAUAUCCUUUCAAAAAUUCCAACUGUUAGGAUUAUGUAAAAAUAUUCUUUCAAAAAUCUCCAACGAUCAUUUUCUUCUUUUCUACCAUUACAAAAAAUAUAAAAGGGGUAAAAAGAUCAAUUUACCUUAUUCACUAACCACGGUUAAAUAUUUUACUUAUGCUUAACUAUAUUUCUCUAACAGAUCCUGACAACAGGGAUAUAUUUGAAAACGUCAGGACUUUUGUAGGGAUAAAUAUGAAAAGUUGUACUUUAUAGGGAUAUAUUUGGCAUUCGAUGUAGUAUUCCUGAGGUUUGGAUAGGAUUGGCUGCAGUAUUAGUGACUAGUCGACACAUCUGGAGAGUGUCGGACUGAGUUGGAGUCAUUUCUGCACGAAAUGGAUGCAGAAAUAGAAUCGGCGCACUCAAACAAGCAAAACUAGAGUUUUGCCAGAUUCGG